GAACAAUUGCUGGCCAUUAUCGCGACAAGUUUUGUUUUCGAGCUUAUGAAAUAAUUAUAUAAAUACGUUAAAUUGUUAAACGAAUUUCUCGUCGAGGAUAUUGGAAUAGUUCUACCAUAAGGUACAGGUAUAUCGCUAUCCAUGCGGUACGACAUUGACCAAUUAAAUAAGCCAUUGUAAUCUGAUAAUUUUUGAUUUUGGUAAUAAAAUUAAAAUGAAGAUGGAAUACAACUGCGUCCGCUUUAUUUAAAUCUUCCGAAUUGUAACUCAAUAAACAAUUAUCUACCGAACAAUUCUCCCAAGGCGAAAAUCUGAAAUUAUUGAGGAAAAGAGAUUGUCUCUAUAUUGGCGUUACUGGAUUGGUCAACCGCAGUUUGUUCAUCCACGAAUCACGUUAGUAUACAAAACGAUCGCCGUCACCAUGGCACAGAAUAAAGCAAAUACUGCAGCCGCGCCCUCUAUUCUGAACGGAACGCUGCAGUUGCGGAUACACCUGCGUUCCUUAGACAGAAAGCAAAUUUCCGUUGUUCUUCUUUCAGAUGCAAAUACAAUAAAACUUCGUUAAUUGCAAACUUCGAUUUUUGUAACUUUUGUUUUUCGUAAGAUUCUUUGUUAAUCGCUACUCUGUCAUAUUUCCGUUGUAAUAAACACUCUUGUCAUUA